GCCUUAGUAGCUCAGUGGUAGAGCGUUUGCCUAGUAUGUGUUGAUUGUGCCAGCAAAAGGUCCAGUGUUCGACUCACUGUUGAGGCA